CACAAGCGAGGAGCAUGUGGUUAAUUCGAUGAUACGCGAGGAACCUACCUGGGCUCGAACGUAAGAUGACUGUAGGUGAAAGCUUACAUCUCUUCGGAGCAUUUUACGAGGUGCUGCAUGGUUGUCGUCAGCUCGUGCCGUGAGGUGUCGGGUUAAGUCCCAUAACGAGCGCAACCCCUACCUUUAGUUGCCAUCAGGUUAAGCUGGGGACUCUAAAGGAACUGCCUACGCAAGUAGUGAGGAAGCGGGGAUGACGUCAAAUCAGCACGGCCCUUACGUCCAGGGCUACACACGUGCUACAAUGGCCGAUACAGAGGGCAGCUACCUGGUGACAGGAUGCAAAUCUCCAAAGUCGGUCUCAGUUCGGAUCGGAGUCUGCAACCCGACUCCGUGAAGUUGGAUUCGCUAGUAAUCGCGCAUCAGCCAUGGCGCGGUGAAUACGUUCCCGGGCCUU
rnacentral:rRNA from 1 species